CAGGAACUCCAUCCGUCCAAAAAUACUUAUCAUCAAAAUGGACAAAAAAAUGUAUCUAGAACUAAAAUACAUCUAGAUACAUCCCCUUUUAUUCAUUUUGAUGACAAGUAUUUCUGGACGGAGGGAGUAGAUG
rfam:Triticum aestivum genome assembly, contig: Triticum_aestivum_CS42_TGACv1_scaffold_225387_3B